GUGGGAGGAGCACUUGAGCCCAGGAGUUUCAAGUUCAGCCUGGGCAACACAGCGAGACCUCCUCUCUGCAGGUUAUAAAUCUUUGCAUCUUAGCCUUCAUGAAGUUGCCUUCCUGAAAUUGAGAAUCAGCUUAGAAAUCUACAGUUGUGAAAAGGGCCUUGUGUGUCACUGGAUUUAACAGUUCUCAAUGGCACCACUCUAGAGAGCUUGGGAAAACAACCUUGUAGGAUUGUGUAUUUUGGUCGUCUUCACAGUUUGCAGAGGGUACCAAUCUUCAAGAACUUGAGGCUGACGUGAGGCUCAAGUUUGUCCCUUUAAGGUCAUCCUGCAGAGUUGGUAAAACUGUAAAUGCUCUUGGUCAUUCUCAUGCUCACUUGGAUUUUAGUAGGCCAAACAAAAUGACAUUGGGCCUCUUCUUGUUUUGUUUUGAUGUGACCAGCUUAUGAGAUAUUAAGUGCCAGUUUCAUUACUUGGUCUGUUUUUGUUUUCCGCAAGAUAAUUGAGGAUAAUAGAACUGAUGAGGCAGGCUCCCCUUAAAAAACUCAAUCUGUCAACCAAUAUUUCAUUGCUUCUUAUGUUGGGCAUUGGCUGUGGAGAGUGAGGGAGACCGGAGUGAAGAAUGGUACCUACAUUUCUGCUUUGGGCAUCUGGUGGAUGGUGGUGUUAUUUACCGAGAUAGGGAAUACCAAAAGAAUAGUUUUUGUGUAAGGGUUCAUGAUUUUUUAUAUAUAUAUAUAGGAGUUCUUUUUUCAUUCGGUAAUGUCUUACCCAUCUUCUCAUGCCAGUUAAUAAAGUUGUAUGUACUAAUAAUGACCACAUAGAGUUGUAUAACUUAAUCAGUUUGGGUGGUUUUACCACUGUUGGUACUUACCUCUCUUGUAUUCAAUAAUUAGUGUUUGCAGAUACAAAUUAGCAGCUACUGUAUGCCAUGCAAAAUGCUUUACAUAUGUCAUCAAAAAGUUGGUAUCCUUUUUCCAUUUCACAAAUGGGGAAACUGAGGGAUAGAGGUUAAGUAACUGUGAUAUCACACAGCCAAUAAAUGGCAGAAUGAAAAUUUUUAAACAGCUGUAUUGACAUAAAAUCUACAUACCCUAAAGUUCACCUUUAAUGUACAGUUCAUUGGUUUUUAGUCCAGUUGACUCUUGGACAGUGUGGGAGUUAGGAGGACCAACCCCCACAGUCAAAUAUCUAUGUAUAACUUUGACUCCCCCAAAACUUGACUAAUAGCCUGCUGUUGACCGGAAGCCUUACCGAUAACAUAAACAGUUGAUCACAUGUUUUGUAUGUUACAUGUAUUUUAUACCGUAUUCUUACGAUAAAGUAGGCUAGAGAAAAAAUGUUACUAGAAAAUCAUAAGAGAAAAUAUAUUUACUGUUCAUUAAGUGGAAGUGAAUCAUAAAGAUCUUCAUAUUUACUGUUUUCACAUUGAGCAGGCCGAGGAAGAGGAAGGAUUGAUUGGUCUUGCUCUCUCAGGGGUGGCAAAGGUGGAAGGAUGUGGAGCGGAUGUAAGGAGAAGCAGGCACAGUCAGUGUAACUUUACAGAAAUAAUUUCUGUCUGACUUUUUGCUUUUUCAUUUCUGUAAAAAUGUUUCUAUGUGGUACCAAUCCUAAUUCCACCAUUUGCGUUAGUUUCAGUGCCUGUGUAAUAGAAGGGUCUGUAUUGUAAAAGAAGUCAAAAGCAGCCUUGAAUAAUCGGAACCCUUUUGCCAGAUCAUCUAAUGUCAAUAUGUUUUCUGGCAUUGCUACUUCAACAUCGUCUUCCAUGUCUGGCACUGGUUUGGAGCACUCAUCUCUAUCAGAUUGUCUUCUGCUAAUUCCUCUGGAAGAAGAAGCAGGAAGGAUAAAAGAUUGCUGGGACAACCAGGAAGCACCUGCUCUCUCCACGUGUAGUAAUGCCAAUAUCUUUCGAAGGAUAAAUGCCAUAUUGGAUAAUUCUCUGGAUUUCAGUAGAGUCUGCACUACACCUAUAAACCGAGGAAUUCAUGAUCAUUUGCCAGACUUCCAGGACUCUGAAGAAACAGUUACAAGCAGGAUGCUUUUCCCAACCUCUGCGCAAGAAUCUUCCCGUGGCCUCCCAGAUGCAAAUGACUUGUGCCUUGGCCUGCAGUCCCUCAGUCUGACAGGCUGGGACCGACCCUGGAGCACCCAGGACUCAGAUUCCUCAGCCCAGAGCAGCACACACUCGGUACUGAGCAUGCUCCAUAACCCACUGGGAAAUGUCCUAGGAAAACCCCCCUUGAGCUUCCUGCCUCUGGAUCCCCUUGGGUCUGACUUGGUGGACAAGUUUCCAGCACCCUCAGUUAGAGGAUCACGCCUGGACACCCGGCCCAUCCUGGACUCUCGAUCUAGCAGCCCCUCUGACUCAGACACCAGUGGCUUCAGCUCUGGAUCAGAUCAUCUCUCAGAUUUGAUUUCAAGCCUUCGCAUUUCUCCACCUCUGCCCUUCCUGUCUCUGUCAGGGGGUGGUCCCAGAGACCCUUUAAAGAUGGGGGUAGGGUCUCGGAUGGACCAAGAGCAAGCUGCUCUUGCUGCAGUCACUCCCUCCCCAACCAGUGCUUCAAAGAGAUGGCCAGGAGCUUCUGUGUGGCCGUCCUGGGACCUCCUCGAAGCUCCCAAAGACCCCUUCAGCAUAGAGAGAGAGGCCAGGCUGCACCGACAAGCUGCAGCUGUGAAUGAAGCCACCUGUACCUGGAGUGGCCAGCUUCCUCCCCGGAACUAUAAGAACCCCAUCUACUCUUGCAAGGUGUUUCUAGGAGGUGUUCCUUGGGAUAUUACAGAAGCUGGAUUAGUUAACACCUUCCGUGUUUUUGGCUCUUUGAGUGUGGAGUGGCCUGGUAAGGAUGGCAAGCAUCCCCGGUGUCCUCCCAAAGGGUAUGUGUAUCUGGUCUUCGAACUAGAGAAGUCUGUCCGAUCCUUGCUUCAGGCUUGCUCUCAUGACCCGCUGAGCCCAGAUGGCCUGAGUGAAUAUUAUUUCAAGAUGUCCAGCCGAAGGAUGCGCUGCAAGGAGGUGCAGGUGAUCCCCUGGGUAUUAGCCGACAGUAACUUUGUCCGGAGCCCAUCUCAGAGGCUUGACCCCAGCAGGACGGUGUUUGUCGGUGCUCUGCAUGGAAUGCUAAAUGCUGAGGCCCUGGCAGCCAUCUUGAACGACCUAUUUGGUGGAGUGGUGUAUGCCGGGAUUGACACAGAUAAGCACAAGUAUCCCAUUGGUUCUGGUCGUGUGACUUUCAAUAACCAACGGAGUUACCUGAAAGCAGUCAGCGCUGCUUUUGUGGAGAUCAAAACCACCAAGUUCACAAAGAAGGUUCAGAUUGACCCCUACCUAGAAGAUUCUCUGUGUCAUAUCUGCAGUUCUCAGCCUGGUCCUUUCUUCUGUCGAGAUCAGGUCUGCUUCAAAUACUUCUGCCGGAGCUGCUGGCACUGGCGGCACAGCAUGGAGGGCCUGCGCCACCACAGCCCCCUGAUGCGGAACCAGAAGAACCGAGAUUCCAGCUAGAGGAGCUGGCCUUGCCCAGUGGCCUGUGGCGCCCAAAGCUGGCAGGUCAGGCAAGCAGCCUGCACCACCCUGCCACUGGCGACCAGGGAGCUGGCUUCCCAAGGACAAGGGAAAAUUGUAGUCACCUUUGCACUUGCUGAAUCUGUCUUUGUUUCUGCACUAAUUAAUGCACAUUGAGUUUUGUCAGGUUUUGUUUUCAGGGGGUGUACCAAGGGCAAGGACCCUCUGGCUUACCCUCCAAGCGACUCUGUAGUUUUCCCAGAUUUUAGUUCCUCAUUUUGCAGAUGAAAAGCGGGGAAAAAAAAAAAAAAAAAAAAAACUACGUGUCCAGAAGGUAUUGAGGUAUUGACACGGAUGCCUACACCUAGGUUUAUUUAUUAAAAGCGCUUUUUUACAUUCCUUGCAAUACUGAUGGUGAUGAUGCGCAGGUCUCAUUGGUUUCAUUCUUGCAGUUGCCAUACAGUGCCUUUCCAUUUAUUUAACCCCCACCUGAACGGCAUAAACUGAGUGUUCAGCUGGUGUUUUUUACUGUAAACAAUAAGGAGACUUUGCUCUUCAUUUAAACCAAAAUCAUAUUUCAUAUUUUACGCUCGAGGGUUUUUACCGGUUCCUUUUUACACUCCUUAAAACAGUUUUUAAGUCGUUUGGAACAAGAUAUUUUUUCUUUCCUGGCAGCUUUUAACAUUAUAGCAAAUUUGUGUCUGGGGGACUGCUGGUCACUGUUUCUCACAGUUGCAAAUCAAGGCAUUUGCAACCAAGAAAAAAAAAAUUUUUUGUUUUAUUUGAAACUGGACCGGAUAAACGGUGUUUGAGCGGCUGCUGUAUAUAGUUUUAAAUGGUUUAUUGCACCUCCUUAAGUUGCACUUAUGUGGGGGGGUGGGGUUGAUAGAAGUUUUUAAUCACAAAGUCACAGGACUUUUUUCUUUUGUAACUGAGCUAAAAAGGGCUGCUUUUCGGUGGGGGCAGAUGAAGGCUCACAGGAGCCCUUUCUCUUAGAGGGGGCAAGUACCCUUCCCUUAUAUCUUUAAUUUGAGGAAUGUAUGAGAUAACAGUUGCAGUUGACUGAAAUGCCACUGGAAUUUGAAAACUUGACUUUUUUUUCUUUCCUUUUUUUUUUUUUUUUUUUUUUUAAAAAGAAACAAAAAACCCACAAAAACUACUUGCCCCUCCUAGGGAAGCUGUGUGCCAAAGAACCAGUGUCAUAACCCCUCCCUCCUGCUGAGCUGACGUUGCAUUGUUGCAUAUCCCAGCUACUCUGUGGGUUUUGUGAAGCUGUGUGUGAAGUCUCUACCUCAUUGUAGUAUAUGCAGGCAAGACUGCACUCUCCUACAGAUGUGUGGAGUAAGCUGUGGUGUAGUUUUUUUGGCACAUAAUAAACACGUUGCAGCA
rnacentral:misc_RNA from 1 species